UACGUAGGCAGCGAGCGUUGUUCGGAAUUACUGGGCGUAAAGAGUGUGUAGGCGGUGCUCCCAGUCUGUUGUGAAAUCUCCCGGCUUAACUGGGAGGGUGCAGCGGAAACUAGAGUGCUAGAGGGUGGGAGAGGUAAGCGGAAUUCCUGGUGUAGCGGUGAAAUGCGUAGAUAUCGGGAGGAACACCUGUGGCGAAAGCGGCUCACUGGACCAUUACUGACGCUGAUGCACGAAAGCUAGGGGAGCAAACAGG
rnacentral:rRNA from 1 species